rnacentral:rRNA from 1 species
AUGCAGGGAGGCAGCAGCCAGAAUGCCAGGUUAAGUAGGGCAAGUUGCUGCUGUUGGGUCGGUACCCAACUGGCACGGCACAUGCAGAGGGAGGGUGAGAUGAUACUAGAUUCAGAUGCUGCUAAUCUGGGGUACAACCACAGCACAGAGGGAGUGGGUUGUUUGAGGGCAGGAGCUAUAUAUGCACUGUUUGACAUUGAUGGAUUGACUAUUUAUCUUUUGGUUGUACAUAGAUUUAGUCACAAGUGCCAUUUUCGAUGUAAUGUAACGGCAAAAAUGUUACAGGUUCGACGUUUCCUGGGGGCUAUGAGCAUGGGACGCCAAAAAGAAAUUGAAAAAAAAUCCCUAGCAAGGAUGCAGGUGGCGGCCAUGAUUUCCUAG